UCGGCACUCUGAAGCCACAUGGUUUGUAUUAUUCAUUUAACAAUGUGUCUCAGAGUGUAGU
rnacentral:pre_miRNA from 1 species